GGGAGAAAUGAGCGGGAUAAAAUGCAUCAAUAAGAACUGAUAGCGGAUGAAAACGCGAUGGAUUAGGUUAGAUUGGACAUUUGAGCGACACCAAGAAAACAAAUCCAUGAAACGCAUCUUUUGCGGAACAUAUCUGAUCUUAUUUGUUUCAUACGACUCUUUCAGCCGCAUUAUUGUUCCCAGCUUGUGACUCACAGGAUAUUUACAUUUCUAAAUGCAAUACUGGAUUUGGAAGAGGCGUUAGAUUAACGUUUUCUUCUGUCUUUGUUAUGCUUAAAUGAUUCAGAUCAUCAAAAAAAAUUACAAGAAU